UAGCAGGAUAGUGAAUGAAAUGAGGUAGCAGAAUAGUGAAUGAAAUGAGGUAGCAGGAUAGUGAAUGAAAUGAGGUAGCAGGAUAGUGAAUGAAAUGAGGUAGCAGGAUAGUGAAUGAAAUGAGGUAGCAGGAUAGUGAAUAAGAUGAGGUAGCAGGAUAGUGAAUAAGAUGAGGUAACAGGAUAGUGAAUGAAAUGAGGUAGAAGAAUAGUGAAUGAAAUGAGGUAGCAGGAUAGUGAAUAAGAUGAGGUAGCAGGAUAGUGAAUAAGAUGAGGUAGCAGGAUAGUGAAUAAGAUGAGGUAGCAGGAUAGUGAAUGAAAUGAGGUAGCAGGAUAGUGAAUAUGAUGAGGUAGCAGGAUAGUGAAUGAAAUGAGGUAGCAGGAUAGUGAAUAAGAUGAGGUAGCAGGAUAGUGAAUAAGAUGAGGUAGCAGGAUAGUGAAUAAGAUGAGGUAGCAGGAUAGUGAAUAAGAUGAGGUAGCAGGAUAGUGAAUGAAAUGAGGUAGCAGGAUAGUGAAUGAAAUGAGGUAGCAGGAUAGUGAAUGAAAUGAGGUAGCAGGAUAGUGAAUGAAAUGAGGUAGCAGGAUAGUGAAUGAAAUGAGG